GAAAAGAGCAAAGAAGAUGACAAGAUAUCUGACACCAACAUGAGAACACUUAAAAGAUCGUUUAGUUCACAUGGUUAACAUGCAAACUUGAUUUUGAUUGCAGUUUCAUGAUGUGCAACAGGUGAUGUACUACCAGACAGAUAUGUCCAAGUUUGGAGAGAGAUACACGGGAGAAGAACUCACCCUGGCAAGUUAAAUUUACUGCAAUGCUGAUUUGACGCUACUCACGUUUGGAUUAGAAACAGUGACAUCAUUUUAAAAUGGGAGAAAUAAUAUUUUGUCAUGAAACUUAAAUGGCUAUAGUGACUGGUUUAAAAUUCCCUGACUUUUUCUUGACAAUUUCUUUUUUUUUUCUUUCUUGGAUUUCAGUAUGACUCUAUCCUGCUUAGCACCUCAAAUUUCUCUCUCUCCUACUUCAUUUCAUUUCAUCUCACUUCAUUUUUAGAUUUAAAUUAGUUAAAAUAAGUGAGAAGGACCUGUCCAACCAGUAGCUCACUUCAAGCAGCUCCAAGCUCCUUUCUGCUAUUAAUAAAAGAGAGAAGAGCCUUUGAAAAGCAGUAAUAUGUCCACUUCGGCACAAAUGUCACUGAAACUGCAAAUCUGGAUACUUGUUUAGACAUGACACUCCUUAAUUUUCCAAUAAGAUAUGCUGGUUCACAAACUAAUAUACCUAAUAACACAAAGGAUAAAAAAAGUGGCUGCAGCUUCAUGGGCUUUACUGUUUGUUUUUAUUCUGGCAAAUCCAAAGCUACUAUUACCUAUGUAUUCUAUUACAAAGGGAACUAUUACCUGAUAUUUAUGACAAACUGUGGAUUAAAUAUUUUCCAAAGCCUUAUUCAAACAUACAGUACUUUAAGUGCUGUCUAGUAUGGAGUAAUCCUCACAGAUGCCAUCUUAGGCAAAACCCACAGGAGGCCUGGGACAAAUUUUAAUUUUGUUUUAAUUGCAUCUAAUGGAAGAUCAACACCCUGAGACAGUAAUGAACCACACCAAUGAUAUAAAUUUAUUUAAAAUAUCUCAUAUUUUCUGAUGAAGAUUUCAAUCCCAUAAUGUCGCUGAUGGCUUUUUUAAUGAAUGUAGAUUAAAA
ensembl:lncRNA